GACGAACGCUGGCGGCGUGCUUAACACAUGCAAGUCGAACGGAAAGGCCCUACGUUUGAGGCGUGCUCGAGAGGCGAACGGGUGAGUAACACGUGAGUAACCUCACCUUGACUUAGGGAUAACUACAUGAAACUAGGGCUAAAACCGGAUAGGAGCUCCUGCUGCAUGGUGGGGGAUGGUAAGUUUGGGCGGUUGGGGCUGGACUCGCGGCUUAUCAGCUUGUUGGGGGGGUAGUGGAUUACCAAGGCUUUGACGGGUAGCCGACCUGAGAGGGUGACCGGCCACAAUGGGACUGAGAUACGGCGCAGACUCCUACGGGAGGCAGCAGUGGGGAAUAUUGCACAAUGGGCGGAAGCCUGAUGCAGCGACGCAGCGUGCGGGAUGACGGCCUUCGGGUUGUAAACCUCUUUCGCCUGUGACGAAGCGUGAGUGACGGUAAUGGGUAAAGAAGCACCGGCUAACUACGUG
rnacentral:rRNA from 1 species